rnacentral:misc_RNA from 1 species
AACGCACCUUGCGCUCCUUGGUAUUCCGAGGAGCAUGCCUGUUUGAGUGUCUUGAAGUCAUCAACCCAUUCCGUUUCGUGCGGAGGACGGUUGGAUGUGGGGGCUCUGCUGCCGUGAGGCGGCUCCCCUCAAAUGCAUCGGUUGGGCCUGUGGGUCGAACUCGACUGGGCGUUGUACCAUCCUCGCUCGACAGAGAAGUUCCCCUUCUGCGCCCUCCCCCGACCUGCUGCCAGAGUGGCGGUCAAGCAAACAAACUUUGAAAUCUGACCUCAAAUCAGGUAGGACUACCCGCCGAACUUAA